rnacentral:miRNA from 1 species
UUCAAGAACCAAGCGGACCUC